UACGGAGGGUGCAAGCGUUAUCCGGAUUUACUGGGUUUAAAGGGUGUGUAGGCGGGUUUUUAAGUCAGGGGUGAAAUCCCGAGGCUCAACCUCGGAACUGCCUUUGAUACUGGAAAUCUUGAGUCUGGGAGAGGUGAGUGGAACUGCGAGUGUAGAGGUGAAAUUCGUAGAUAUUCGCAAGAACACCGGUGGCGAAGGCGGCUCACUGGCCCGGAACUGACGCUGAGGCACGAAAGCGUGGGGAGCAAACAGG
rnacentral:rRNA from 1 species